rnacentral:tRNA from 1 species
GUCGCGAUGGCAGAGUGACUAUGCAGUCGGCUGCAACCCGGCUUCAGGCCAGUUAAAAUCUGGCUCGCGACUCCA